rnacentral:rRNA from 1 species
CCCUUGUGCCAAGCAGCCGCGGUAAUUCCAGCUCCAAUAGCGUAUAUUAAAGUUGUUGCGGUAAAAAAGCUCGUAGUUGGAUUUCUGUUGAGGGCGACCGGUCUGUACCAUGUACGCGCAUCUGGUUCGGCCUCGGCAUCCUCUCGAUAGACGUUUCUGCGCUUGAUUGCGUGGAGCGGAUUUCGGGACUUUUACUUUGAGGAAAUUAGAGUGUUCACGGCAGGCUAUCGCCAGAAUACAUUAGCAUGGAAUAAUACUAUAGGAUCUCGGUUCUAUUUUGUUGGUUUCUAGACCCGGGGUAAUGAUUAAUAGGGACAAUUGGGGGCAUUUGUAUCAACACGUCAGAGGUGGAAUUCUUGGAUUGUGUUGCGACAAACUACUGCGAAAGCAUUUGCCAAGGAUGUUUUCAUUGAUCAAGAACGAAAGUAAGGGGAUCGAAGACGAUUAGAUACCGUCGUAGUCUUUACCAUAAACUAUGCCGACUAGAGAUGGGGCAUCGUUCACUUACGACUUGCUCCGCAUCUUAUGAGAUAUCAAAGUCUUUGGGUUCCGGGGGGAGUAUGGUCGCAAGUCUGAAACUUAAAGGAAUUGACGGAAGGGCACCACCAGGAGUGGAGCCUGCGGCUUAAUUUGACUCAACACGGGGAAACUCACCAGGUCCAGACAUAAUAAGGAUUGACAGAUUGAUAGCUCUUUCUUGAUUUUAUGGGUGGUGGUGCAUGGCCGUUCUUAGUUCGUGGAGUGAUUUGUCUGCUUAAUUGCGUUAACGAACGAGACCUUAACCUGCUAAAUAGGAGCGCAUAUCUUCGGAUAAGCGCCUUUCUUCUUAGAGGGACUGCAUGCGUUUCAGUAUGCGGAAGUUUGAGGCUAAAACAGGUCUGUGAUGC